rnacentral:rRNA from 1 species
UACAGAGGUCUCAAGCGUUGUUCGGAUUCAUUGGGCGUAAAGGGUGCGUAGGCGGCGCGGCAAGUCGGGGGUGAAAUCUUGGAGCUUAACUCCGAAACUGCAUUCGAUACUGCCGUGCUUGAGGACUGGAGAGGAGACUGGAAUUUACGGUGUAGCGGUGAAAUGCGUAGAUAUCGUAAGGAAGACCAGUGGCGAAGGCGGGUCUCUGGACAGUUCCUGACGCUGAGGCCCGAAGGCCAGGGGAGCAAACGGG